rnacentral:rRNA from 1 species
GACGAACGCUGGCGGCGUGCUUAACACAUGCAAGUCGAACGAUGAACUCCAGCUUGCUGGGGGGAUUAGUGGCGAACGGGUGAGUAACACGUGAGUAACCUGCCCUGGACUCUGGGAUAACCCCGAGAAAUCGGAGCUAAUACCGGAUAGGACCUUGAACCGCAUGGUUUGGGGUGGAAAGUUUUUCGGUCUGGGAUGGA